GCCCACGUGGUGGAACGGCAGACACACGGGACUUAAAAUCCCGUGGGGGGAAACUCCCGUGUGGGUUCGAAUCCCACCGUGGGCA
rnacentral:tRNA from 2 species